rnacentral:rRNA from 1 species
UGAUCCGGCGCCGAAGAUUUCCGGGGCUAAAACUUACUACCGAAGCUACGGCAUCAGUAAUGAUGGGUAGGGGAGCUUCCCAUACGGGUUGAAGCAUGACCGUAAGGACAUGUGGACAGUAUGGGAGGGAGAAUGUUGGCAUGAGUAGCGAGAUGUGGGUGAGAAUCCCACAGGCCGUAAACCCAAGGUUUCCAGGGGAAGGUUCGUCCGCCCUGGGUUAGUCGGGACCUAAGCUGAGGCCGAAAGGCGUAGGUGAUGGACAACAGGUUGA